AGUGAACGCUGGCGGUAGGCCUAACACAUGCAAGUCGAACGGCAGCACAGUAAGAGCUUGCUCUUACGGGUGGCGAGUGGCGGACGGGUGAGGAAUACAUCGGAAUCUACUUUUUCGUGGGGGAUAACGUAGGGAAACUUACUCUAAUACCGCAUACGACCUACGGGUGAAAGCAGGGGAUCUUCGGACCUUGCGCGAUUGAAUGAGCCGAUGUCGGAUUAGCUAGUUGGCGGGGUAAAGGCCCACCAAGGCGACGAUCCGUAGCUGGUCUGAGAGGAUGAUCAGCCACACUGGAACUGAGACACGGUCCAGACUCCUACGGGAGGCAGCAGUGGGGAAUAUUGGACAAUGGGCGCAAGCCUGAUCCAGCCAUACCGCGUGGGUGGAGAAGGCCUUCGGGUUGUAAAGCCCAUUUGUUGGGAAAGAAAAGCAGCAGGUUGAUACCCCGCUGUUCUGACGGUACCCAAAGAAUAAGCACCGGCUAACUUCGUG
rnacentral:rRNA from 1 species